rnacentral:rRNA from 1 species
GUGCAGCAGUCGAGAAAACUUCACACUGUGCGAAAGCACGAUGAGGGAAUCCCAAGUGCUUGCACGUAAGUGUAAGCUGUUUCUCUGUCUAAAACGCAGAGAGAGUAAGGGCUGGGUAAGACGGGUGCCAGCCGCCGCGGUAAUACCUGCAGCUCAAGUGGUGACCGUUAUUAUUGGGCCUAAAACGUCCGUAGCCGGUUUAAUAAAUGCCUGGGUAAAUUGUGUAGCUUAACUAUACGAAUUCCGGGUAGACUGUUAAACUUGAGACCGGGAGAAGUUAGAGGUACUCCUGGGGUAGAGGUGAAAUUCUGUAAUCCUAGGGGACCACCAGUGGCGAAGGCGUCUAACUAGAACGGGUCUGACGGUGAGGGACGAAGCCCUGGGGCGCAAACGGGAUUAGAUA